GUGGAAGGUAGGGCUGGGGGGAUAGUCGUCCCCCGUCCUGAAACCGACUAUAUGCAGGGGCCAGUAACUAUCGGGUAAAACGCUCCCGUUGGAAACUUACCUUUCCUGUAGGGAUGAAGACACGCCGUAGCGGGUGGCUAUAAGAAGCAGGCCUCUCGAAGGGGAGGUUCCGACUUUGUGCCGUUGAAUCGAGCCAGGUCCGGGAGGGAGCAGCUCUAAGGCGGGAUGGUCACGCUGUUGCGUCUACGUGUUUGACUUUAUAGGAUUGGAGAUGAGAUCUGAUGGAGGCGUGAGCGCCGAUGGAUCUUCUAC
rnacentral:SRP_RNA from 1 species